rnacentral:sRNA from 1 species
AUACCGCGAGGAGGACUCCAUGAAGAAGUUGCUGACCAUUGCGAUCCUGGCUGCCGCCGCUGUUGCAGUGCCGAUGGUGCUGGCGCAGAACGCCGGCCAGCCUGCUCCGCAGCAGGGUGACCAGGCCGACAAGGCGCAGUCCGAAGCCGAGGCCAAGGCCAAGCGCCGCGCGCAGGCCAAUGCCGAGAUGAAGGCCAAGGGCCAGCCGGUGCCGCAGCAGGAAGAAGAGGAAGAGGCACGCAAGAAGAAGUAAUUCUUCUGCCCUUCGAGGCCCUUGCCACAAGGGUUUCCCCCUCGAACGCCCCGCCCAGCGGGGCGUUUCUUUUUGCCGAUGGCGCCAU